GGAUAACUUACCCUUAGGACUGGGAUAACUCUGGGAGACUGGGGAUAAUACUGGAUAUUAGGCUAUGCCUGGAAUGGUUUGCCUUUGAAAUGUUUUUUUCGCCUAAGGAUAGGUCUGCGGCUGAUUAGGUCGUUGGUGGGGUAAUGGCCCACCAAGCCGAUGAUCGGUACGGGUUGUGAGAGCAAGGGCCCGGAGAUGGAACCUGAGACAAGGUUCCAGACCCUACGGGGUGCAGCAGGCGCGAAACCUCCGCAAUGUACGAAAGUGCGACGGGGGGAUCCCAAGUGUUAUGCUUUUUUGUAUGACUUUUCAUUAGUGUAAAAAGCUUUUAGAAUAAGAGCUGGGCAAGACCGGUGCCAGCCGCCGCGGUAACACCGGCAGCUCGAGUGGUAGCUGUUUUUAUUGGGCCUAAAGCGUUCGUAGCCGGUUUGAUAAGUCUUUGGUGAAAGCUUGUAGCUUAACUAUAAGAAUUGCUGGAGAUACUAUUAGACUUGAAGUCGGGAGAGGUUAGAGGUACUACCGGGGUAGGGGUGAAAUCCUAUAAUCCUGGGAGGACCACCUGUGGCGAAGGCGUCUAACUGGAACGAUCUUGACGGUGAGUAACGAAAGCCAGGGGCGCGAACCGGAUUAGAUACCCGGGUAGUCCUGGCCGUAAACGAUGUGGACUUGGUGUUGGAAUGGCUUUGAGUUGUUCCGGUGC
rnacentral:rRNA from 1 species